UUAUGGCUCAGAUUGAACGCUGGCGGCAGGCCUAACACAUGCAAGUCGAACGGUAACAGGAAGAAGCUUGCUCUUGCUGACGAGUGGCGGACGGGUGAGUAAUGUCUGGGAAACUGCCUGAUGGAGGGGGAUAACUACUGGAAACGGUAGCUAAUACCGCAUAACGUCGCAAGACCAAAGAGGGGGACCUUCGGGGCCUCUUGCCAUCGGAUGUGCCCAGAUGGGAUUAGCUUGUUGGUGGGGUAACGGCUCACCAAGGCGACGAUCCCUAGCUGGUCUGAGAGGAUGACCAGCCACACUGGAACUGAGACACGGUCCAGACUCCUACGGGAGGCAGCAGUGGGGAAUAUUGCACAAUGGGCGCAAGCCUGAUGCAGCCAUGCCGCCGUGUAUGAAGAAGGCCUUCGGGUUGUAAAGUACUUUCAGCGGGGAGGAAGGGAGUAAAGUUAAUACCUUUGCUCAUUGACGUUACCCGCAGAAGAAGCACCGGCUAACUCCGUGCCAGCCGCUGC
rnacentral:rRNA from 1 species